UACGGGGGGGGUAAGCGUUGUUCGGAAUUACUGGGCGUAAAGGGCACGUAGGCGGCCAACUAAGUCGGACGUGAAAUCCCUCAGCUUAACUGGGGAACUGCGUCCGAUACUGGAUGGCUUGGAUUUGGGAGAGGGAUGCGGAAUUCCAGGUGUAGCGGUGAAAUGCGUAGAUAUCUGGAGGAACACCGGUGGCGAAGGCGGCAUCCUGGACCAAUAUUGACGCUGAGGAGCGAAAGCCAGGGGAGCAAACGGG
rnacentral:rRNA from 1 species